UGGGGAAUAUUGCACAAUGGAGGGAACUCUGAUGCAGCGACGCCGCGUGAGUGAUGAAGGAAUUCGUUUCGUAAAACUCUGUUCUAUGGGAAGAAAAGGACUGUACCAUAGGAGAAAGCUCCGGCUAAAUACGUGCCAGCAGCCGCGGUAAUACGUAUGGAGCGAGCGUUGUCCGGAAUUAUUGGGCGAAAAGGGUGCGCAGGCGGCUUUACAAGUUGGAUGUGAAAUAUUGUGGCUCAACCACAAACGUGCAUCCAAAACUGCAAAGCUUGAGUUAAGGAGAGGUAAGUGGAAUUCCUGGUGUAGCGGUGGAAUGCGUAGAUAUCAGGAGGAAUACCGGUGGCGAAGGCGACUUACUGGACUUAAACUGACGCUCAGGCACGAAAGCGUGGGGAGCAAACAGG
rnacentral:rRNA from 1 species